rnacentral:sRNA from 1 species
GCCAGGCAUGGUGUUAUAUACCUGUAAUCCCAGAAACUUGGGAGGCUGAGGCAGGAGGAUAGCAAGUUUGAGGCCAGCCUGGGCAUCUCAGUGAGACCCUUGAAAUUUAGUGAGACUUUGUCUCAA